CGCGGCCUAUCAGCUUGUUGGUGAGGUAAUGGCUCACCAAGGCGUCGACGGGUAGCCGGCCUGAGAGGGUGACCGGCCACACUGGGACUGAGACACGGCCCAGACUCCUACGGGAGGCAGCAGUGGGGAAUAUUGCACAAUGGGCGCAAGCCUGAUGCAGCAACGCCGCGUGAGGGAUGACGGCCUUCGGGUUGUAAACCUCUUUUAGCAGGGAAGAAGCGAAAGUGACGGUACCUGCAGAAAAAGCGCCGGCUAACUACGUGCCAGCAGCCGCGGUAAUACGUAGGGCGCAAGCGUUAUCCGGAAUUAUCGGGCGUAAAGAGCUCGUAGGCGGUUUGUCGCGUCUGCUGUGAAAUCCGGAGGCUCAACCUCCGGCCUGCAGUGGGUACGGGCAGACUAGAGUGCGGUAGGGGAGAUUGGAAUUCCUGGUGUAGCGGUGGAAUGCGCAGAUAUCAGGGGGAACACCGAUGGCGAAGGCAGAUCUCUGGGCCGUAACUGACGCUGAGGAGCGAAAGGGUGGGGAGCAAACAGGCUUAGAUACCCUGGUAGUCCACCCCGUAAACGUCGGGAACUAGUUGUGGGGUCCAUUCCACGGAUUCCGUGACGCAGCUAACGCAUUAAGUUCCCCGCCUGGGGAGUACGG
rnacentral:rRNA from 1 species